rnacentral:sRNA from 1 species
GCAUGUGAGGGUGAUCUGCCCGUGACACCCCAUUGAUCGCCAGGGUUGAUUUGGCUGAUCUGGGUGGCUAGGUCGCUGUCUCUAACUCCCUCAUGGCUCCUUGUGCAUCCCUCCUGAAGCUGCGUGCUCGAAGCCUACUAUUACGAUAGCUGCAAUCCCUUGCUAGAACUUCCAAUGACUUUUUAUAAUACCAUUUUCCACAGAGUGGUUUUGCACUACACAGGGCUGAUUGCAUUUUAAU